GGGAGCCCCGGCGUGCGGCGGGACUGCCGCCUGCCUCCUCCUCCUCCUCCUCCUCCUCGGGGUGCCGGGGGCGGCCAGACGCCGCGCCGAGAGCCUCUCCUCCCCCAUUGUUCCCGGUCUCUUUUCUUUUUUCUUUCUUUUUUUUUUUUUUUUUUUUUUUUUGCCUUUUGUUAUUGGCACUCGCAUUGUGUUGUUUGUCUCUGAAGCCGCCUCAUGACCAGCAAAGGGAUUUCACCUCGUCCUUGAGAGAGAGAGAGAGAGAGAAAGAGAGAGAGACACAGAGCGAGGGAAGGGGGGGAAGGAGCGCGGGGGGAAGGAGGGCAGCGCGCGGCCGAGCGCCCGUCCCCCGGUCCCAGCCGCGCCCGGAGGACACUCGGCGGACCGCGGGGAUGUGGGAGUAUCAGCACCUCCUACGUAACGCUCGGCAACGUGCAGAAGUAGACUAGUCUGGUCACUUACGGAGGCCCGUUUAAAACCAGUAGGAUUACUCAGGACGAGUAGAGGCUGAAUUGCGUCUGUCCCAGAAGAACUAUGAAUUAAGUCUCUGCAAUCAAUGACAAUUCUGGCUUCGGAAACGGGCACGAGCUGCUUUUUCCAAGUGACUGAGUUACCACAGUUUAAAAGAUUUUCAAAAGCGAUUGCAACGGCCUGAGAGCAUCCACACAGGAAGUUACAGAUCAGCUGGCACAUGGCAAACCGUGAAGCUGCGCCUUCCUCUUGCUGAUGACCGGGUUCCUGUUUGAUCCUGUUUAUAAGCUUCCGAAGGCUGAAAAUAACCUCAACUCCUCUGCAUCGGAUUGUGUGAUAUCACUUCCUUUGUGAAGUAUUUACUGAGAGAUGCUGCUGCUCCCUAAUCGUGCUCUUCUGUGAUGCUGAAGUUUUACCUCACACUGUGACUCCUUUGUUCUGCAAAGAAUAGAAUUGCCAUCUUGAGGGUAAGAAUUAAUGAACAUCAAUUUACCAACAGUUAAGUUUUUAAUUCAAUUAUUUUCUUUGAGGGAAAUGAGACUGUGGGUACUUGACUUGUAUAUGCAGCUGUAUGUAAAAGUG